UGAAAAAUACUAAGUUUUGAUGUUAAAAUAAAUAAAUUUAUUCGGUCAAUAUUUUGGAUAAACGGAUACAGACCCGUGAUUCGAUGGUCCCGAAGGGUCCGUAGGAAAAUAUGGGACUUGGGCGUAUGCCCGAAAUCGAAUUUCGAGGUCCCAAGACCGAGAAAUAAAUUUUUAAGUGAAAUUGUUUUCUGAAAUUGCUUAAUUUGAAAUAAAAAUUGAUUAGAAAAUGACAAUACCGGCCAUGUAUUUUGCUUCCGACACCAGGUACAAUCCUUAUAUAUGACUUGAGUCAUUCCUGUGAAAUUUGGUUAAAAACAUACGUCGUUUGAAUGGAUCCGCACCUUAAUUGAGAAAUUUGAUGCUUUAAGAAGUUUUGAUAAAUUUCAGUGUCUUGAGAUUUUAAUUCGAUGUUCGUGAUGUUAUAUGGUGAUUUGAUUACACGAAUAUGAUUGUAGAAUAUUCUUGAAGUUGGAUGUAUAUUUUGAUCGGAGUUUCAAGGGCUCGGGUGAGUUUCGGGUAGGUUCCGACUUGCCUUAGGCCUAGAAAUCAGCUGUUACAGGUUCAGGUUGUUGCAAGUCUCUGAACCAUCUUGUGCGGUCCACGAAAAAUUGCAUGCGACCGUGGAGGAGCAAGCACAACUGUGGUCGCCUUUGUACGGUCCGCGGUGGAGCCUGUGCGUUCGCAGUCGCUU
rnacentral:lncRNA from 1 species